rnacentral:rRNA from 1 species
AACGAACGCUGGCGGCAUGCCUAACACAUGCAAGUCGAACGAGACCUUCGGGUCUUGUGGCGCACGGGUGCGUAACGCGUGGGAACCUGCCCUUAGGUUCGGAAUAACUCCCCGUAAGGGGUGCUAAUACCGGUUAAUCUCUUCGGACCAAAGGUUUAUCGCCUUUGGAUGGGCCCGCGUUGGAUUAGCUAGUUGGUAGGGUAAAAGCCUACCAAGGCGACGAUCCAUAGCUGGUUUGAGAGGAUGAUAAGCCACCCUGGGACUGAGACACAGCCCAGACUCCGACGGGAGGGAGCAGUGGGGAAUAGAGGAAAAUGGGCGAAAGCCUGAUCAAGCAAUGCCGCGGAAGUGAGGAAGGCCUUAGGGUUGUAAAGCUCUUUUACCCGGGAUGAUAAUGACAGUAACGGGAGAAUAAGCUCCGGCUAACUCCGUG